rnacentral:misc_RNA from 1 species
GAAAUGCGAUAAGUAAUGUGAAUUGCAGAAUUCAGUGAAUCAUCGAAUCUUUGAACGCAGCUUGCGCUCCUUGGUAUUCCUUGGAGCAUGCCUGUUUGAGUAUCAUGAAAUCUUCAAAGUAAAUCUUUUGUUAACUCAAUUGGUUUCUACUUUGGUAUUGGAGGUCUUUGCAGCUUCACACCUGCUCCUCUUUGUUCAUUAGCCGGAUCUCAGUGUUAUGCUUGGUUCCACUCGGCGUGAUAAGUUAUCUAUCGCUGAGGACACUGUAAAAGGUGGCCAAGGUAAAUGCAGAUGAACCGCUUCUAAUAGUCCAUUGACUUGGACAAUACUUUUAUGAUCUGAUCUCAAAUCAGGUAGGACUACCCGCUGAACUUAAGC